rnacentral:rRNA from 1 species
AGAGUUUGAUCCUGGCUCAGGAUGAACGCUAGCUACAGGCUUAACACAUGCAAGUCGGGGGAAACGACAUCGAAAGCUUGCUUUUGAUGGGCGUCGACCGGCGCACGGGUGAGUAACGCGUAUCCAACCUGCCCAUCACUUGGGGAUAACCUUGCGAAAGUAAGACUAAUACCCAAUGAUAUCUCUAGAAGACAUCUGAAAGAGAUUUAAAAGAUUUAUCGGUGAUGGAUGGGGAUGCGUCUGAUUAGCUUGUUGGCGGGGUAACGCCACCAAGGCUACGAUCAGUAGGGGUUCUGAGAGGAAGUCCCCCANAUUGGAACUGAGACACGGUCCAAACUCCUACGGGAGGCA